AGCUGGAAUUGCUGUAAUGGCAGGUCAGCAUACUGCCGUGAACACGUUCUCGGGCCUUGUACACACCGCCCGUCACACCAUGAGAGUUGGAAAUACCCGAAGCCUGUGAGCUAACUUAAAGAGGCAGCAGUCGAAGGUAGAGCCAAUGAUUGGGGUGAAGUCGUAACAAGGUAGC
rnacentral:rRNA from 1 species